GGAGAUACUGAGCAAAAUAUCUUCGAGUAAUGACAGUUGCGGUGCUAGAUGCAAUGCACAGAUUCCUGGAAGUGGACCAUGUUCAGACUCUUAUGGCAGUUUGUAUCAUCUACAUAUCCCCCAGAUAUGCUUGUAAAUUGUGGAGGACAAUACAUGGGGCUGACAAUUAUCUUUUGUCUCGCUAUCACUGAGAAAAUAACUUGGGAAAAUGUGUGGAACGUGGAUCAGAAUUCAAUCUAUUUGCCAACUCAGCCUCUUUUCCAGUAAUGAGUUGGCUACCACCCAAAGCCAGUCCCUAGUGGUUAAUUUCAAUGAGGAACCCAGAUGUUGGAUCUACUUGACCAGGAGGAGCACAGCGGAUGAACCUGUUCUAUAUGGUGAACUUGGCUGCUUCCUGCACAGGUCCUUUUGAUAGUGAAUUCUGGCCAAUCCUUGAAAAGUUUAGGUGUUUGUUUUG